CCCUUAGACGUUCUGGGCCGCACGCGCGCUACACUGACCAGUGCAACAAGCAUCCGUCCUUGGCCGACAGGCUCGGGCAAUCUUUGAACGCUGGUCGUGAUGGGGAUAGACUUUUGCAAUUUUUGGUCUUCAACGAGGAAUUCCUAGUAAACGCAAGUCAUCAACUUGCAUUGAUUACGUCCCUGCCCUUUGUACACACCGCCCGUCGCACCUACCGAUUGAAUGGUCCGGUGAAGCCUCCGGAUUGGCGCGCACCCCGGUGCCGCCGAGAAGUUGGCUAAACCUUNCNAUUUAUNGGAAGGUGAANUCGUANCA
rnacentral:rRNA from 1 species